GACGAACGCUGGCGGCGUGCUUAACACAUGCAAGUCGAACGGAAAGGCCCUGCUUGCAGGGUACUCGAGUGGCGAACGGGUGAGUAACACGUGGGUGAUCUGCCCUGCACUUCGGGAUAAGCCUGGAAAACUGGGUCUAAUACCGGAUAGGAGCCAUUUUUAGUGUGAUGGUUGGAAAGUUUUUUCGGUGUAGGAUCAGCUCGCGGCCUAUCAGCUUGUUGGUGGGGUAAUGGCCUACCAAGGCGGCGACGGGUAGCCGGCCUGAGAGGGUGGACGGCCACAUUGGGACUGAGAUACGGCCCAGACUCCUAAGGGAGGCAGAAGUGGGGAAUAUUGCACAAUGGGAGCAAGACUGAUGCAGCGACGCAGCGUGGGGGAUGACGGCCUUCGGGUUGUAAACUCCUUUCGCUAGGGACGAAGCUUUUGUGACGGUACCUAGAUAAGAAGCACCGGCUAACUACGUG
rnacentral:rRNA from 1 species